GUCACAUUCGUUUAAAUGCUGAUCCCCGUUCAAACGAAUCUGGCAUCGCAUUCAGACGAACCUGACCAAACCAAAUUCACUUUCUGACGUCACAUUCCUUGAACGACAGUGUACUCAAGGCCGCCGUAUCUUGUUCAAAUAAUGUGCCUGUUGUGGAAAGCGCGCUCGGAGAGCAGCCAUUGUCUGGCUAGGAGACAAUGGUGGUGACCCACCAAGAUUGUGCGUCGGAGAGCGCGGCUGAGAGGGUCGCAAAUACCAGGAGCCCUGUCGGUGCUUGAACCCGGGCAGCCCACAUCCAGGCAGUGCGUACAAAUAAAUGGCGGGCACGCAGUCGGGCGGCGCGCCACAUCCACUCCACCAUGAAGCAGUCCACCGCACUCCUCUGCGUCCUGCUUGUCGCGGGCAUCACCGCCGGCAUGGCGGAGACGACCGCUCGCCCGUGCCUGCUCCCCAUCUACAUUUCGCUCAACCCCAUCCUCUGCCCGCUGCUCUGCAACACGCUGUGCAACACGCUGUGCACCGAAGGCGUCAAAGGUGUGUGCACUGUCGGGACCUGCACGUGCAGCAGCACCGCCACCACCACCACCACCCUCGCGGGGUAGCCCUCUUGCAAUGUUGUUGAAUGUAGCCUGUGGAUAAUAAACUUUUUUGGACCGGA